UGCCCCUGGCAAUGUGCAAAGAGACACCUUGUUGGCGGUGUUUUUCUUAUAUCAAUCAGGGGCAGAGCAGAUGGCAGUCCAUUGUUCAUCUGAGCUUGAUGCCUGGCUUGGUGGACAAAUGCUGUUUUAUGCCUAGGACUCAAAU